UACGUAGGGGGCUAGCGUUGUCCGGAUUUAUUGGGCGUAAAGAGCGUGUAGGCGGCCAGGUAGGUCUGCUGUGAAAACUCGAGGCUCAACCUCGAGACGUCGGCGGAAACCAUCUGGCUAGAGUCCGGAAGAGGAGAGUGGAAUUCCCAGUGUAGCGGUGAAAUGCGUAGAUAUCGGGAGGAACACCAAUGGCGAAGGCAGCUCGCUGGGACGUUACUGACGCUGAGACGCGAAAGCGUGGGGAGCAAACGGG
rnacentral:rRNA from 1 species